GGAUGCCAGGGUCAAAAGCUACAAAUCCGAUCGUGCUUGCACGACAAGGAUUUUGAGCUUGGGACCCGCUAAAAUAUGAGGAUGCAGCGAUUUUCGAAGAAAAUCAGCGAAUCCGAAUAUUUUUAGAAUUGCGAGAGUUACGAAGUAACGGAGCAAUUCGUGGGCAUCC
rfam:Clostridiales bacterium 41_12_two_minus Ley3_66761_scaffold_474, whole genome shotgun sequence.